rnacentral:rRNA from 1 species
AUUGAACGCUGGCGGCAGGCCUAACACAUGCAAGUCGAGCGGAUGACGGGAGCUUGCUCCUUGAUUCAGCGGCGGACGGGUGAGUAAUGCCUAGGAAUCUGCCUGGUAGUGGGGGACAACGUUUCGAAAGGAACGCUAAUACCGCAUACGUCCUACGGGAGAAAGCAGGGGACCUUCGGGCCUUGCGCUAUCAGAUGAGCCUAGGUCGGAUUAGCUAGUAGGUGAGGUAAUGGCUCACCUAGGCGAAGAUCCGUAACUGGUCUGAGAGGAUGGUCAGUCACACUGGAACUGAGACACGGUCCAGACUCCUACGGGAGGCAGCAGUGGGGAAUAUUGGACAAUGGGCGAAAGCCUGAUCCAGCCAUGCCGCGUGUGUGAAGAAGGUCUUCGGAUUGUAAAGCACUUUAAGUUGGGAGGAAGGGCGGUAAGUUAAUACCUUGCUGUUUUGACGUUACCGACAGAAUAAGCACCGGCUAACUCUGUGCCAGCCGCCGCCGUAACAC